GCCCCAGUAGCUUAGUAGGUUUUUUCUUAUGACAGCAUAAGAAAACUAUAGAGAGCGCAUGACUGUUAAUCAUGAGGUCAUCAGUUCGAGUCUGAUCUGGGGCG
rnacentral:tRNA from 1 species